GACGAACGCUGGCGGCGUGCCUAACACAUGCAAGUCAGGGAGAAAUUCGUCGCAAGACGGAUAGUAAACCGGCGAACGGGUGAGUAACACGUGGGUAACCUGCCCCUGAGAAAGGGAUAACAUGCCGAAAGGCGUGCUAAUACCAGAUAACGCCACGGAGCCUUCGGGCACCGUGGUCAAAGGAUGGCCUCUACUUGUAAGCUAUCGCUUGUGGAUGGGCCUGCGCACCAUUAGCUAGUUGGUAGGGUAACGGCCUACCAAGGCGACGAUGGUUAGCUGGUCUGAGAGGACGACCAGCCACACUGGAACUGAGACACGGUCCAGACUCCUACGGGAGGCAGCAGUGGGGAAUCUUGGACAAUGGGGGAAACCCUGAUCCAGCAACGCCGUGUGAGUGAUGAAGGUCUUCGGAUUGUAAAGCUCUGUUAGUCGGGAAGAAACGCGCCAGCAUCAGAUCCUGGCGUUUGACGGUACCGACAGAGGAAGCACCGGCUAACUCUGUGCCAGCAGCCGCAGUAAGAC
rnacentral:rRNA from 1 species